rnacentral:tmRNA from 1 species
AUCGGUUUCGACAUCGCCUGCGUUGCUGCGGGAAGCGGGCCGAGGAUGCAGGGUUAUCUCGUAAACGAUCUCUGUGAAACAAUAACUGCCGAAAAGAAGCAGUCCGACUUCGCCCUCGCUGCCUGAGCAGCGAGCCCGAGUCCGUCAGUGCGUGACUGAUCCCGUCACGUUCCCUGGCGUCAUCUAAGGGAUCUUGCUGCGCGACGGCGUCCGGACGUCGCGUGGGACUUUUCCCGGACUGGGCUCGUCAACUCGGGUGUCUGUGA